ensembl:lncRNA
CCGGUCAAUAUAAUGGAUAUAAUAUGGACACAUAAGACGAUCAGUAUUCGGUAUUUGUUAUGGAUUUAUUGUACAAAUUCCCUGAAAAGAUACACGUUCCAGGAUGAAUUGAAAAGCUCCCGUAAGGGCUGAUAUGGCAGAGGACAGCUGAUUUGGAACUUACUUAGGCCUAAUAAUUAACGUUCAAAAGCUAUUAAAUCUUCAACAAAAUAUGCAGACACUGUCAAAAUCGGUUCCAGGGAAUAUAUAGGGAUUACUAAUGUUGUUUUUGAUGGUGCGUUUUUCUUCGAAUGCUCGCUCGAAAAACCAACGAGUAUUCAAAGCCUGAAAAAUGGCAUUCGGGCCAGCCCUAGUAUCAGGUUAAAUUGUUUGAUCCAGAUAUGUAGGGUUAUAGUGGGGUUAUCAGGUUAAAUGGUUUGAUCCAGAUAUGUAUUACUGGUCCGGCACCACGGUACCGGUGCACGACGGGAGUUGUGACGGCUGGGAGUCGCCGGAGUGCCCGGGCCGCGCUCACGGUGAAUGAAUGUCCAAUCCAACCAUUUCUUCCUCAACUCUUCUAUCUUGGCCAAAAUAUCUCUCUGUGUCUCUCUCUCUGUCUCUCUCUCCUUCUCCCUCUCUCUGAUUCUCUCUGGUAGUUUAAUUGUUUGUAUUUCUAUGACGGACAGUGCUGUCAGCCUGUCAGAGGCGAGACAUUUGGAUGUCAUGAAUAUUCAUGAGUAAGAGCCAAAAUCCUGGCGUUCCUCCCCACCAACCUCCUCCUCCACACUAGAACAGCGUGAAACAGGAGCACCAGAGCAUUUUUUCACCAAAACUGAC